AGUGAACGCUGGCGGUAGGCCUAACACAUGCAAGUCGAACGGCAGCACAGUAAGAGCUUGCUCUUACGGGUGGCGAGUGGCGGAUGGGUGAGGAAUACAUCGGAAUCUACUUUUUCGUGGGGGAUAACGUAGGGAAACUUACGCUAAUACCGCAUACGACCUACGGGUGAAAGCAGGGGAUCUUCGGACCUCGCGCGAUUGAAUGAGCCGAUGUCGGAUUAGCUAGUUGGCGGGGUAAAGGCCCACCAAGGCGACGAUCCGUAGCUGGUCUGAGAGGAUGAUCAGCCACACUGGAACUGAGACACGGUCCAGACUCCUACGGGAGGCAGCAGUGGGGAAUAUUGGACAAUGGGCGCAAGCCUGAUCCAGCCAUACCGCGUGGGUGAAGAAGGCCUUCGGGUUGUAAAGCCCUUUUGUUGGGAAAGAAAAGCAGCAGGUUAAUACCCCGCUGUUCUGACGGUACCCAAAGAAUAAGCACCGGCUAACUUCGUG
rnacentral:rRNA from 1 species